rnacentral:lncRNA from 1 species
GGAGCCUGAGGGGGAGACUACAUUAUAUUCUACAGCUACUGAAAGGAGUUUGCGGCAAGGAGGAUGUUGAUCUCUUUUUCCCAGGUGGCAAGUGAUAGGACCCAGAGAAGGGCCUCAAGUUGUCCUACAGGAGGUUCAAAUAGGAUAUUGGGAAGAAUUUUUUCGUGGAGAGAGUGAUCAAGCUUUGGAACAGACUGCCCAGGGCAGUGCAGUCCCCCUCCCUGGAGGGCAAGCUCUGCCAGCAGUGUGGAUCUGCAGGAGCCAGGAGCAGCAGGGGAUGUGCGGGCACCUGAAAGAUGCACCUCAGCUUUCCAGAGCCAAGCAAACCAGGCAUUAGCUCACAUGCACAACUUCCCAGCAUCCUUGCUGAAGGACCACGUGCUCCUCCACUAGCCACCAUCCCACAGUGGGUACCACGAGUGAAUUUGGGGCUGCAGACGUUGGGGGAAGCUCCUGCUAUACAACCUGCAUCCUCUUUCCCUUUUUCCCCAGUGGCCAAUGACAAAGAGUACCUCUUUUUCCCACGUUAUCGAUCUCUGGGCUAUGACACCCAGUGAACUUCUGUCCCUUUGUUCAGCCAAUCUGCUGAUGCUUUUUUUUUUUUUUUACAACAGAGAUGUAUUUGAACUAGGGAGACACUUUCUAUUGAUGAAAGCAAUACAAUCCAUCUGGCCCCUAGUGCUAGGCAGUUUGUGCAACACAGCAGCACCUUGCAUUGGCUUUGUUUGUUCCCCAGCUUGUACUUGGGUCAGCAGGAUAAUAUCUUAAUUGCCAGAUCAUGAGAAAGGAAAUGUGAGAGCAGAAUUAAAGGACCAGACCCGAUAGCAGUGAGUGUUUGAGUCAGGCUAUUUCAGCCGCCUUCCUGAUGGCUGAACUCACAGGGCUGUAGUGCUGCAAGCAGCACAGCAGCAGAUAGGGAUGAUUUCCAAACAGCAGUUCAUGAGCAUGCAAUCAUGAAAAGUUGCAUUUAACCCAUCGUUGUUUAAGUCACAAUGAUUUAACACCUACAACACGUUCAUCCUAUGUAAUUCCCGUUAGCUGUGUUCAGAACUCAUUAUGUCAUUCCAAACCCUUUCAAAGUCCCCAGUCGCCACAAUGAAUGCAUCCCCU